rnacentral:rRNA from 1 species
AUUGAACGCUGGCGGCAUGCUUUACACAUGCAAGUCGAGCGGCAGCGCGGGGGGCAACCCCUGGCGGCGAGCGGCGAACGGGUGAGGAAACCAUCGGAACGUGCCCGAGAGUGGGGGAUAACGCCGCGAAAGCGGCGCUAAUACCGCAUAUUCUCUGAGGAGGAAAGUGGGGGACCGCAAGGCCUCACGCUCCCGGAGCGGCCGAUGUCGGAUUAGCUAGUUGGUGGGGUAAAGUCUACCAAGGCGACGAUCCGUAGCUGGUCUGAGAGGAUGAUCAGCCACACUGGGACUGAGACACGGCCCAGACUCCUACGGGAGGCAGGCAGUGGGGAAUUUUGGACAAUGGGGGCAACCCUGAUCCAGCCAU